rnacentral:rRNA from 1 species
UACGUAGGGUGCGAGCGUUGUCCGGAAUUAUUGGGCGUAAAGAGCUUGUAGGCGGUUUGUCGCGUCUGUUGUGAAAAUCCGGGGCUCAACCCCGGACUUGCAGUGGGUACGGGCAGACUGGAGUGUGGUAGGGGAGACUGGAAUUCCUGGUGUAGCGGUGGAAUGCGCAGAUAUCAGGAGGAACACCGAUGGCGAAGGCAGGUCUCUGGGCCACUACUGACGCUGAGAAGCGAAAGCAUGGGGAGCGAACAGG